AGUGAACGCUGGCGGUAGGCCUAACACAUGCAAGUCGAACGGCAGCACAGUAAGAGCUUGCUCUUACGGGUGGCGAGUGGCGGAUGGGUGAGGAAUACAUCGGAAUCUACUUUUUCGUGGGGGAUAACGUAGGGAAACUUACGCUAUUACCGCAUACGACCUACGGGUGAAAGCAGGGGAUCUUCGGACCUUGCGUGAUUGAAUGAGGCGAUGUCGGAUUAGCUAGUUGGCGGGGUAAAGGCCCACCAAGGCGACGAUCCGUAGCUGGUCUGAGAGGAUGAUCAGCCACACUGGAACUGAGACACGGUCCAGACUCCUACGGGAGGCAGCAGUGGGGAAUAUUGGACAAUGGGCGCAAGCCUGAUCCAGCCAUACCGCGUGGGUGAAGAAGGCCUUCGGGUUGUAAAGCCCUUUUGUUGGGAAAGAAAAGCAGCAGGUUAAUACCCCGCUGUUCUGACGGUACCCAAAGAAUAAGCACCGGCUAACUUCGUG
rnacentral:rRNA from 1 species